UACGUAGGGUGCAAGCGUUGUCCGGAAUUAUUGGGCGUAGAGAGCUCGUAGGCGGUUUGUCGCGUCUGCUGUGAAAACUCAGGGCUUAACUCUGAGCUUGCAGUGGGUACGGGCAGACUAGAGUGCGGUAGGGGAGACUGGAAUUCCUGGUGUAGCGGUGAAAUGCGCAGAUAUCAGGAGGAACACCGGUGGCGAAGGCGGUUCUCUGGGACGGUACUGACGCUGAGACGCGAAAGCGUGGGGAGCGAACAGG
rnacentral:rRNA from 1 species